UGCUCUUUGAUGAAAUGGAAAAUACUUUAAGCCUAUCUCGCCAUUUCUCAAACAGGCACGCACACACAGCCGCACAAAUCAUCAAAAGCAAGGCAGUGCUAAGAAAACGCUGGCCAUCUUUUCCUAUUAUGAAAUAGAAUCUCAAGCCCCUGUGCUGCUGAGAGCGAUCGGAGCUGACAGCUCCCAAUUCUGCAUCAAUACCCAAUGAAGAAGUUCCACACGGAUCUUAGGAUGCAAGGAUUGCAGAGGAUCGUGCUGAUUUUAUGUGGACAUCGGAUGCAAAGCGCUGGAGGGACGGGGCAAAACCACUGUGUUUGUUUUCUUUUUCACAGCUGUGUUAAUUUAAAAGAAAUUCCUUGUUUUGGUGGUGUCUGUUGCAGAGCUAAACGUUGUGUUUGAGUGUGGCUGCUGUGAGUGUGUGCUGGGGGAGAUCAAGGAAUGCAGUAAUUUGAUGCAGUAAAAGUUGCUUUGCAGAAGUCUUGGCAAACUUAAAGCUCUUGUGCAUAAAAAUAAAAAUGUGUGAAAGAGAUUCAUUACUAAUGGAUUUGCCAGAAACCAUCUUAAAUAAAUUACAAAUAUAAACCAUUUAAA